rnacentral:rRNA from 1 species
CCCCUAGAUGUUCUGGGCCGCACGCGCGCUACACUGACGAAGUCAGCGAGCAUGUCCUACGCCGACAGGUGCGGGGAAUCUUGUCAAACUUCGUCGUGAUGGGGAUUGAUUAUUGAAAUUCUUGAUCAUCAACGAGGAAUUCCUAGUAAGCGCAAGUCAGCAGCUUGCGUUGAUUACGUCCCUGCCCUUUGUACACACCGCCCGUCGCUACUACCGAUUGAAUGGUUUAGUGAGAUCUUCGGAUUGGCGCCACUGCGGCUCAGCAAUGGGCUCGGUGGAUGCCGAAAAGUUGAUCAAACUUGAUCAUUUAGAGGAAGUAAAAGUCGUAACA